CGUGCAGGCGGUUCGUUAAGUUGGACGUGAAAGCUCCCGGCUCAACUGGGAGAGGUCGUUCAAUACUGGCGGACUUGAGGAUGGUAGAGGGAGGUGGAAUUCCGGGUGUAGUGGUGAAAUGCGCAGAUAUCCGGAGGAACACCAGUGGCGAAAGCGGCCUCCUGGACCAUUCCUGACGCUCAGACGCGAAAGCUAGGGUAGCAAACG
rnacentral:rRNA from 1 species